rnacentral:lncRNA from 1 species
UACCUUAAUUGCGAUGCACGUUAAAGAUGUAAGUUUUAACCGAGAAAAUAUUUAUAUCUUUUGACACAUACUUUAAACAUUUAACCAAAAGAAAAAAAAAAGAAAAAAAAAACAAUUUAGUUAAUAACCAGUCUAGUUAAAUAUAAAACAUUGGUUUGUUAUGGAUUUACCUCUAAAGGCCAUAGCAUUUAGUACAACAUUGGAAUAAACCAUCAAGUCUUUUUAUAUAUAUAAUUUGAAUAAUUAAUAUGAAUUAGAUAGGCAACAUUAAAAACCAUAACAUGAUUUACGAACAAUUCAUGUAUACAAAAAGUUAAACCGAGCCAUUAAAUUAAAAAACAAUUUAAUGGUAGCCUAUCGAAUGAUCGCAUUGACAGUCUGAACAAUGUGUAAAGACAGCAUCGGCAGGAUGGCGGCAAUAAAGACACAAAUCGUACGAAAUAAAGAUCACAAAUGUUUUAGCAGGCAAUACUGAUCCAAAACAAGAUACGGUUGAAAUGAUGUGAAAUAAAGAUAAUAACCGUUUUGCAGGCAAUGCUGACCCAAAACAAGACAGUUGUAAUUAUAUGAAAUAAAAAUCAUAAAAGGUUUU